GAUGAACGCUGGCGGCGUGCCUAAUACAUGCAAGUCGAGCGAACAGAUAAGGAGCUUGCUCCUUUGACGUUAGCGGCGGACGGGUGAGUAACACGUGGGUAACCUACCUAUAAGACUGGGAUAACUUCGGGAAACCGGAGCUAAUACCGGAUAACAUUUGGAACCGCAUGGUUCUAAAGUGAAAGAUGGUUUUGCUAUCACUUAUAGAUGGACCCGCGCCGUAUUAGCUAGUUGGUAAGGUAACGGCUUACCAAGGCGACGAUACGUAGCCGACCUGAGAGGGUGAUCCGCCACACUGGAACUGAGACACGGUCCAGACUCCUACGGGAGGCAGCAGUAGGGAAUCUUCCGCAAUGGGCGAAAGCCUGACGGAGCAACGCCGCGUGAGUGAUGAAGGGUUUCGGCUCGUAAAACUCUGUUAUUAGGGAAGAACAAAUGUGUAAGUAACUGUGCACGUCUUGACGGUACCUAAUCAGAAAGCCACGGCUAACUACGUG
rnacentral:rRNA from 1 species